UUACGGUCAAAUCACGCUGAAAACACCGGUUCUCGUUCGAUCACCGAAGUUAAGCAUCGUAGAGCCAGGUCAGUUCUUAGAUGGGGACCGCUUGGGAACACCUGGUACUGUAAG